CACGUAGGGUGCGAGCGUUGUCCGGAAUUAUUGGGCGUAAAGAGCUCGUAGGCGGUGUGUCGCGUCGGCCGUGAAAACCUGCAGCUUAACUGUGGGCUUGCGGUCGAUACGGGCAUCACUGGAGUUCGGCAGGGGAGACUGGAAUUCCUGGUGUAGCGGUGAAAUGCGCAGAUAUCAGGAGGAACACCGAUGGCGAAGGCAGCUCGCUGGAACGGUACUGACGCUGAGGCGCGAAAGCGUGGGGAGCAAACAGG
rnacentral:rRNA from 1 species